GGAGAGGUGCGUGAGCGGUUGAAACGGCCGGUCUCGAAAACCGGUGUACGCCUUCUGCGUACCGAGGGUUCGAAUCCCUCCCUCUCCGCCA
rnacentral:tRNA from 1 species